rnacentral:rRNA from 1 species
GUUUGGUGGAACUUUUAAUUGGGUUGAUUGGUUUUAAUUGCCUUUUGCAUCAUGCUAUAUGGAUGUGGUUAGUAUAUGGGCUAUAGACCGAAAAGUUUGGAUCUAGUAUCAAGUUGGUUAGGAAGUUAAUAACGCGAGUAGUGAGUGUUAAAAUUUGAUGUUAGAGGUGAUAAAUGAGUCGUCAAACUUUAUAACUGUUUGGGGGUUUAAGUAGUUAUAAACUUAUUUGGUGAUGAGAUCAAAUAGGUAAGUAUAUCUGUUUUGUUUGCUGUGUUAGGUUAGGGUUAAAGUUACCUCUUUUUAUAGAGUAUGUUAUAAUCGCGGUGCGAGGCUGUGAAGAUAGAUUAUUUUUGGUGACCCCUUUUAUUGAAUUAGACUUGAUAAAGUAUCAUUUAAUAAGUAAUUAUAUUAGCUUUUAUGUGUCUCAGUUUCAUCCCGUCUGUUUAUUAAAAACAUUUCCAUAGGUUAUUUUAUAUGGUAGUACCUGCUCUAUGUGUUAUAAAUGGCCGCAGUACCUUGACUGUGCGAAGGUAGCAUAAUUAAUUGCCCUUUAAAUGGGGGCUUGUCUGAAUGGUUUGACGUGGUUGUGAGUAACAUGAGAAUUUUAAGUGAAUUUAAUGGCGCGAAUUCAGAAUUUGCGUAGUUUAACUAGACGGAAAGACCCUAGGAUCUUUAAAUUUUUGCUUGGGGCAAGUGAUAAUAUUUUAUUUGCUUUUUGACCCCCCUGAAGUGGGGUUACAGGUUUAAGUUACCCUAGGGAUAACAGAGUGAUAGUUUAUUAGAGGUCUUAUCGAUUAAACUGUUUGCUACCUCGAUGUUGACUUGGGUUAAAUGUUCUGGCGCAGUUGUUAGGAGUUUCGGUCUGUUCGACCGUAGGUACCCCCAUGAGUUGAGUUAAGACCGGCGUGAGCCAGGUCGGUUCUUAUCUGUUGUUCUAAUUCGUUAGUACGAAAGGAUUGCGGGUUAUUUUGGU